AUAUGAAUCACCAGGGGUUCUUAUUAAAAUGCAGCCACCUAGUCCUGGGUCUGGAAGGCAGCUGAGAUUCUGCAAUUCUGACAUGUUCCCAGGUGAGUUGAGG
rnacentral:pre_miRNA from 1 species